rnacentral:rRNA from 1 species
GACGUAGGGGGCGAGCGUUGUCCGGAAUUACUGGGCGUAAAGAGCACGUAGGCGGGAACCUAAGUCAGGUGUGAAAGACCGUGGCUCAACCACGGGGUGGCAUUUGAAACUGGGUUUCUUGAGGGCAGGAGAGGAAAGCAGAAUUCCUGGUGUAGCGGUGAAAUGCGUAGAAAUCAGGAGGAAUACCAGUGGCGAAGGCGGCUUUCUGGACUGACCCUGACGCUGAGGUGCGAAAGCGUGGGUAGCAAACAGGAUUAGAUACCCGGGUAGUCCCUGAGCGGG